CAGAGGUGCCAAGCUGCUAAGUGCUUUGCCCAAGGUUAGAAAUGUAGGUGGAACACAAUUGGAACGAAAGGUAUCAGUGGAAAUGGAAAGGUGUCAGUGGAAAUGUAGGGUCCUGUGCUCAAAUCCUCGCCGUUUGCUGACAGAGCUGCAAUUCUGAGACUGCACUGAGAGUUCAUUUGGCCUUGGUCAAACCUCACCUGCCAUUUCAUUUAUUUGCCUUAGGAUGCGUGUGAUUAAAGGAAAGAUUCCGGUGUUUUUGUGUGAAAAGAAGGGCUGAAGGUGCCCCCCAGCAGGCAGCUCGCCGCAGCAAUCGGAUGAUCUCCCUCUGUGAAGCCUUCACCUGUUGUGUGCCUGGCUCCCCCAUGCCGCUGAUAGCAUCGCCACUGUGACCUUGGAAUCCUUCUCACCAGUGCCACCCUGUCUCCUAGCAGGGGGAAAUCAGAUUUCCUCCCCUCCGCACCUCUCCCUGCAUUUUCAUUUCUGAAGAAAGAGCCAGGGAGGGGAUGGAGCCUCUCCCUGUGCAGCAGUGACUAUUUUCAGCUGUAGCCCAACAGAUUGCUUCGCUCCUCUGCCUUAUCAUCCAAUACCACCUUAAUGCAUGCAGCUACGCAAGGUUACUAUUAGUGACUGAUAUCGCUGGCGCUGCGGACUGGAGGUUUUAACCCUAGAUGAAUCAAAAUCUCUGUGCCACAUCCUUGGUUCUCCCUGGAUUUUCAGAUAUCAGUUAAUCAGUUAUUAUUAUUACUAUUUUUGAGCUUUUUUUAUUUUUUUUUUAAAAACCAGAAAAUACAGUAAGUUUCUUUUUUCAGAGGAUGACAAAGAGAAAAGUCAGCCAUUCUCGAGGACCAAAUCAAUCAGUGGUUUACCUUGCAUGGAGUGACUGACAGCUCUGGCCCUCUGGCAUUGUAAUUUAUUUUCCAGGCUCAAACCUUUGCAAGUAUCACAUGCCAAGCUUUUAAAAAUGUAUAUAUAGAACCGGCUAGAUAGUUAUAUUUAGUGCAACUGUAGGUACGGAGGCAUUUCUUUUUUUAGCUUCUGUUGGUGCAAAUAUAGAGAUAGGAGAGAAUCGAACAACCUCUCCUCACCUCUCCCCUGUGAAAGCAUCCCUUCCAUCUGGCAACCUGCCCAGAGGAGUCUGCAAAGCUGCUGUUGGGAGGGGGCUGUGGAAAGAGCUGGCUGAGGAAUGUUCAGGAUCUUCCAAAUGCACCCUUCUUAGCAGAUUGGCCUUGGUUCAGGAAUGGGAAGUGCUACCAGCUAUGAGAGGCUCUCAAGGCUCCCAGCCCUUCUUGACAAUUUCCAUCCUGGUAAAUGGGAAACUGGACAGCUUCAGAGCAUAGGUGAGGAAACCAGGAACUGAGGAGUGUGUUUGGGACCACUGAUGUCCUGUCUAUAUCCCUGCAGAGCAUGUCUAGCCACAAAUGCACAUUUCCCAAGAGCUAGUUGUUCCAGGCAGUCCUGAUUUCAGCCUGGGCAGCAGAGAGGCCCUUGGCAGGGGGCUGGUGGCUGCAGGAAUGAGCAGCACAGCAGGGGAGGGGGGCACAGCACCCAGGCAUCCCUGGCUGUGUGGGGUCCCUUGCCAGCUCCCAGCUGUUCCUGACAGCUGAAUCCCAUGGCCUGACAGCAAGUGUAACCUCUGCAGACAUGAAAAACAGACAAGUUUAACAGGUACAUGGGCUUCUUGUCAGAUCUGAACAGAAACCUCCCCUCUGGCCUGAGCAAGGCUUUGUGUGUCCCAAUAUAUCUGUUUUCUCAGGCUGUUAUCAGCUGGUCUGAUAAAAGGUGUUACUCCUCCCUGCAUUUCUCACUUUGCUUUUACAGUAGUCCAGGAAGGGUACAGACUUAUGAACUGCCUGUUAUAAAUGCACCAUAAAAACAAACACUUGCAUUUUUAAAAUGUCAUUGUCCUUUUAUAUUUCAGCUUUCCAUUUCUGGUCUGUUUGCUAUCUCCUGGUCUGUCCACACAUGGGCACUCUCAUUUGUACCUGCACAAAACAACUGGCAUGCACCUUUUCCUGUGUAAAUAAGCUUGUUCCUUGGGCAGUUGUACAUCACAGGUUGGUGACACCUUCUAAUCUUAUUUUAGGAUCUGGUGGUAGGUUUUUCACAUGUUGACCUCAAACCUGCAUGCACAAAAAUAAUCUUUGCUCUUAAACUCUCAGACCUUGUUUUUCACACUUCCCAGCAAGAGAGGAAGAUAAAGAACACUCAGACCUAAGAAUGUAUUUUAUGAUCAUUGAGAAAGCAAUAAAAUCUUCUGCUUUGAAGCUGA